GACAGAGGUGCCGAGCGUUAGGCGGAAUCACUGGGCUUAAAGCGUGUGUAGGCGGGCCGUUAAGUGCCUUGUGAAAUCCCCCGGCUCAACCGGGGAACGGCUGGGCAUACUGGCGGCCUUGAGUCACUCAGGGGUCAGCGGAACAAACGGUGGAGCGGUGAAAUGCGUAGAUAUCGUUUGGAACGCCGACGGCGAAAGCAGCUGACUGGGAGUGAUCUGACGCUGAGACGACGAAAGC
rnacentral:rRNA from 1 species